CCUACGGGUGGCAGCAGUGAGGAAUAUUGGUCAAUGGACGCAAGUCUGAACCAGCCAUGCCGCGUGCAGGAAGACGGCUCUAUGAGUUGUAAACUGUUUUUGUACGAGGGUAAACGCAGAUACGUGUAUCUGUCUGCAAGUAUCGUACGAAUAAGGAUCGGCUAACUCCGUGCCAGCAGCCGCGGUAAUACGGAGGAUUCAAGCGUUAUCCGGAUUUAGUGGGUUUAAAGGGUGCGUAGGCGGUCGGAUAAGUCAGAGGUGAAAUUCUGAGGCUCAACUUUGGAAUUGCCUCUGAUACUGGUCGGCUAGAGAGUAGGUGCGGUAGGCGGAAUGUGUGGUGUAGCGGUGAAAUGCUUAGAGAUCAUAAAGAACACCGAUUGCGAAGGCAGCUUACCGAGCUACUUCUGACGUUGAGGCACGAAAGCGUGGGGAGCAAACAGGAUUAGAUACCCUUGUAGUC
rnacentral:rRNA from 1 species